AAUCACUUGUCUUUUAAAUGGAGACCUGUAUGAAUGGCAUAACGAGGGCUUAACUGUCUCCUCUUUCCAGUCAAUGAAAUUGAUUUCCCCGUGCAGAAGCGGGGAUAAACACAUAAGACGAGAAGACCCUAUGGAGCUUUAGACACCAAGACAGAGCAUGUUAAACACCCCCUGAUAAAGGCCCGAACUUAAUGACCCCCCUGUCCUAAUGUCUUCGGUUGGGGCGACCAUGGGGAAGCACAAAACCCCCAUGUGGAAUGGGAGAACAAACCCAAAACCCUCUUUCCCAUACUCCCACAAGCAAGAGCUACAACUCAAACUAGCAGAAUUUCUGACCUCUCAUGAUCCGGCACUAGCCGAUCAACGGACCAAGUUACCCUAGGGAUAACAGCGCAAUCCCCUUUUAGAGCCCA
rnacentral:rRNA from 1 species